CAUGCAGGCGGCUCAUUACGCAUGGCGUGAAAGCCCCCGGCUCAACCGGGGAGGGUCGUCGUGUACGGGUGAGCUUGAGGGUAUCAGGGGCUGGUGGAAUUCCCGGUGUAGUGGUGAAAUGCGUAGAGAUCGGGAGGAACACCUGUGGCGAAGGCGGCCAGCUGGGAUACACCUGACGCUGAGAUGCGAAGGCGUGGGGAGCGAACG
rnacentral:rRNA from 1 species